rnacentral:tRNA from 1 species
UCCCGUGUGGCUCAGUUGGUAGAGCAUGGUGUUUGCAACGCCAGGGUUGUGGGUUCAAUUCCCACUGGGGGAC